GAUGAACGCUAGCGGCAGGCCUAACACAUGCAAGUCGAGGGGCAGCACAGAAACAGCAAUGUUUUGGUGGCGACCGGCGGACGGGUGCGUAACGCGUAUGCAACCUACCUUUAACAGGGGGAUAACGGAGAGAAAUUUCCACUAAUACCCCAUAACAUCGAACAAGGCAUCUUGAUUGGUUGAAAACUACGGUGGUUAAAGAUGGGCAUGCGUUGCAUUAGGUAGUUGGUGAGGUAAUGGCUCAACAAGCCUACGAUACAUAGGGGGACUGAGAGGUUAGCCCCCCACACUGGUACUGAGACACGGACCAGACCCCUACGGGAGGCAGCAGUGAGGAAUAUUGGUCAAUGGGGGCAACCCUGAACCAGCCAUGCCGCGUGCAGGAAGACGGCUCUAUGAGUUGUAAACUGCUUUUAAACAGGGAUAAAGCACAGUAUGUAUACUGUGUUGAAGGUACUGUAAGAAUAAGGAUCGGCUAACUCCGUGCCAGCCGCCGCAGUAA
rnacentral:rRNA from 1 species